AACUGAGGAAAAAAUCUUUACAUCUAUAACCAAAAUAUUUUUCUUUAGAAAUCUGCGCAUUCAUCUAAAGCAAAGAAGAGGCUGAAGAAGAAUGGACAGCGACGACCUUCGUCAAGCCCAUUGGAAACUGCCCACUAGCCAUUACCUUCUGCUUCUAUCCAUUACCCAGUUGGCCCAUUACCAUUACAGUUUGUUUUGUCAGAGAUUCCGGCACUAACGCUGGGGCGUGGCCACAAUUAAUUCGAUUGCAGCUAUAAAUAGCCUCGAAGAGAUUGCAACGCCCAGCGGCGCGAUAUACAUAGGUGCGUGGAAUGUGGCCUAAUCGAUGCAAAAAUAUCCGAGCCAGACCCCGAAACUAGUUCUAAGCUCGAUGGAUCGACGGGGCGUUGUGGUGCGACCACCAUCAAUGGACCAAGUACUCCAGUCGGUGGGUACUUUCGAGCCAGCUGGAGUCUGGUCUAAUAACUGGAACUAAAGCGUGCGCCUCGCCAGUAAUUAGCGUUUGGGUAGAAGCUCAAAAUGUAUGGAGAAAGAUGAAAAAAAUAAAACGUUACAAAUGCCCGAGAAUAAAGCGGUUCAAUAACCUGCCGCCAGUCAGCCAUCGUCCAUCGAUCCGCGAAUACGAUCCAUCUAUCAAUCGCCGCUUGGCCAUUCCCUUCGGACUUCUAAGCCAGGCCCAAAGGCUAUGGAAAAUACUAACAUAUCUCGCAAGCUAUUUUGCAAAGCCAGGAGGAAGGCGCCGAGAUGAUAACAAUCGGCAUGUGAAGAUGGGGCAACAAUUAAGAAUGGAGAUGAUUAAUCAAAAGCCCCCUGCAGACGCAGCUUUCGGUGAUAAGGUCAAUGCUGUUCCAAUUCUCAGCCACAUUUCUCCAGCUUCGCCCAGCUAUCAUCAACACGAUCGGCUGCACUGCGCAAAAUCGAGGAAAAUUGGUAACAAGAUUGGGAGUAUUAAAAAGAAUGUCAUGUAAUAUUGGGCCCUAUUAGUGAUUAUGAAAAGAUAAGAAUGAGGGAAUAUUAUAUUUUAUUGCCAAGAUCAUUUAUUACUCCUGGGUGCCUCUAGUUUUUAUCAGUGCACCAUCAUCUACGAGCUAUGUUCUUAGCAUUCUGAAGCGAGCCCCAUCCAUUUUCCAAACGUGUGGCAUUCACUGACACACAGUGGAGCAGUGGAGCAUCGGAUGGCUUCCAACGGUGGGAUUACACAGCGGCCCUGGCUCCAAAUAAUUCAGUUAAGGUUAAUGGGUGACGGGGCAAAUCAAACAGAAUCGAAACACAUACAUACAUAUGGCUGUGUGUCUAAUGGAGAAUGGGAUCAUUGGGGGCACGUAAAAGAGAAGUGAAAGACUCCGAAAACAUUCUGGGAAUUUGGCAGCCACAAAGUAAUCAUUAAAAGUAAUUAUUCUAUUAUGCGAGGCAUCACAAGAUAUACAUAUAACAUAACUUUCUUUUCAAGCGAGUGCAUAAAAUAAAAUAGAUUUUAAUUA
rnacentral:sRNA from 1 species